rnacentral:rRNA from 1 species
GACGAACGCUGGCGGCGUGCUUAACACAUGCAAGUCGAACGGAAAGGCCCUGCUUUUGUGGGGUGCUCGAGUGGCGAACGGGUGAGUAACACGUGAGUAACCUGCCCUUGACUUUGGGAUAACUUCAGGAAACUGGGGCUAAUACCGGAUAGGAGCUCCUGCUGCAUGGUGGGGGUUGGAAAGUUUCGGCGGUUGGGGAUGGACUCGCGGCGUAUCAGCUUGUUGGUGGGGUAGUGGCUUACCAAGGCUUUGACGGGUAGCCGGCCUGAGAGGGUGACCGGCCACAUUGGGACUGAGAUGCGGCCCAGACUCCUACGGGAGGCAGCAGUGGGGAAUAUUGCACAAUGGGCGGAAGCCUGAUGCAGCAACGCCGCGUGCGGGAUGACGGCCUUCGGGUUGUAAACCGCUUUCGCCUGUGACGAAGCGGGAGUGACGGUAAUGGGUAAAGAAGCACCGGCUAACUACGUG